rnacentral:rRNA from 1 species
CUAUACUGCAGUCGGACGGGAUUCAAUAGCUUGCUAUUGAUGAGAGUGGCGCACGGGUGCGUAACGCGUGAGCAACCUGCCCAUUUCAGGGGGAUAGCCCGGAGAAAUCCGGAUUAAGACCGCAUAUGAUCACGUUACCGCAUGGUAGAGUGAUGAAAUAUUCAUAGGAAAUGGAUGGGCUCGCGUGACAUUAGCUAGUUGGUAGGGUAACGGCCUACCAAGGCGACGAUGUCUAGGGGCUCUGAGAGGAGAAUCCCCCACACUGGUACUGAGACACGGACCAGACUCCUACGGGAGGCAGCAGUAAGGAAUAUUGGUCAAUGGGGGGAACCCUGAACCAGCCAUGCCGCGUGCAGGAAGACGGCCCUACGGGUUGUAAACUGCUUUUGCACGGGAAUAACCCUCAUUAUGUAUAAUGAGCUGAAUGUACCGUGAGAAUAAGGAUCGGCUAACUCCGUGCCAGCAGCCGCGGUAAUACGGAGGAUCCGAGCGUUAUCCGGAAUUAUUGGGUUUAAAGGGUGCGCAGGCGGGGAUCUAAGUCAGGGGUGAAAGACGGUGGCUCAACCAUCGCAGUGCCUUUGAUACUGGAUUCCUUGAAUAUACCUGAGGUAGGCGGAAUGUGGCAAGUAGCGGUGAAAUGCAUAGAUAUGCCACAGAACACCGAUUGCGAAGGCAGCUUACCAAAGUAUGAUUGACGCUGAGGCACGAAAGCGUGGGGAUCGAACAGGAUUAGAUACCCUGGUAGUCCACGCCCUAAACGAUGAACACUCGAUGUCGGCGAUAGACAGUCGGCGUCCAAGCGAAAGCGUUAAGUGUUCCACCUGGGGAGUACGCCCGCAAGGGUGAAACUCAAAGGAAUUGACGGGGGCCCGCACAAGCGGAGGAGCAUGUGGUUUAAUUCGAUGAUACGCGAGGAACCUUACCCGGGCUUGAAAGUUACUGAAGAUAGCAGAGAUGUUAUCGUCCUUCGGGACAGGAAACUAGGUGCUGCAUGGCUGUCGUCAGCUCGUGCCGUGAAGUGUUUGGGUUAAGUC